GGAAGUAAAAGUCGAACAAGGUUUCCGUAGGUGAACCUGCGGAAGGAUCAUUAUCGUACAAAAUGUGAGGGGUAUGCGAGGGCUGUCGCUGACCCAAAAGUCGUGCACGCCCGAGUGUGUCCUCUUGCAUAAUAAUCCAUCUCACCCUUUGUGCAUCACCGCGUGGGCACCCUUCGGGAUCAUCUCGGAGGGGGGCUCGCGUUUUCACACAAACCCCCCUUUUAAAAGUGUAGAAUGACCACAUUUAUGCAAUCAAUACAACUUUCAACAACGGAUCUCUUGGCUCUC
rnacentral:misc_RNA from 1 species